UACGUAGGGUGCAGGCGUUAAUCGGAAUUACUGGGCGUAAAGCGUGCGCAGGCGGUUGUGUAAGACAGAUGUGAAAUCCCCGGGCUCAACCUGGGAACUGCAUUUGUGACUGCACAGCUGGAGUGCGGCAGAGGGGGAUGGAAUUCCGCGUGUAGCAGUGAAAUGCGUAGAUAUGCGGAGGAACACCGAUGGCGAAGGCAAUCCCCUGGGCCUGCACUGACGCUCAUGCACGAAGGCGUGGGGAGCAAACAGG
rnacentral:rRNA from 1 species